GGCGAUGACGACGUGUUCUCGGAUGCGUCCGAUAAAAGUGAAAAUGAACAGCAAUUCUUGAAAUGCUGCUCUACAAAAACGUAUAAAUUAAAAGUAUGUGUGAGGUGCUUCGCGAUAUUCCAUAUCGCUUGUGCUAAAAGAAACCCAAACGUUAAAUUCCUAAAUGGAAACAAAGUGGUGUGCUGUGAAACGCCGAACCAUCAGGAGGAAGAAAUUAAGAAAGUCCACGAGACAAAAAUGGAAAGUCUUGUAUUACAAGUAAGGUACCUACAAGAAUUAUUGGAAGAAGCAAAGGAUAAAAAUAAUAUUUUGAAGCAGAACAACGGUCUUCUGUUGGAAAAAAUCGAAAAUAUAGUCGAAAUAAAUGGGAAGGAUGGAAAAAAAUAUGUAAACAAAGCUGAUAAACAACAUGGAAACAAAGUCACUAAACAGAGAGAACCAUUAGAGAUUUCUUCCCCUUCGUAUGCAAAUAUAGCAAGUUCGUCAACUUAACAACAGGUGGAAGCACAUGAUCAACUAAAGAUUACUACAAUUCAGGAAACGUCAAAUCAAAAUAAACAAACUAACCAAACUAAUCGUACGACAACAAGAAACAGUCAGAACAGAAAUAUUAUGAAGGAAUCAGGAACUCAAGACAAUGAAUUUAUUGAAGUCAGAAACGGGAAGAGAACAAGAAACAAACCAACACAAAAAAACAUAGGAACAGGUCAAGAAGAAAAUGGUUUCUCCGGACAGCAAAGAAAGGCACACUGAAUUUCUUCAAAAGGAUUCGGUUUUUUUAUAAACUCUGAACCAAAUAA